GGCAAGAAGGAGACGUCCUUAUUCAGUGUGAAGAUUUGUCUUUCACUGCUACAUACGUAGAAGUGCCUGGAAAUGUAUUAUCCAAGGGACAGAAAAACAGCUAUUUGAUGGGCUGCUCUUCCUGCUCUCUCUCUAGCGGUAACGUCCAGUAAAUGCAGAGACCUGACUGCCUGUCUUAUUGCUACGUGAAAUUCAUCCCUGGCUCCAGAAGAACACUCAAUCCCUGCUGACAGUCUGGAAGAGGGAGAGAAAAUAGAUAGCAGAGCUGCAGCUAUUAAGACCAACAGGCAAAUAUUUUAUUCCAACUCAAUUUUCCCGUCCCGAAUUACUUUUAAAGAAUUUUUUUCUCUUUGUGACAAGACAGCGGAGCUUGCAGCAGUGACAAGAUGUAAUCCCGAGUAGAACUGCUUCUGCCUGUGGCCUUGGUUAACCUGCUGGCAAUGAUACUUGCCUGGGCAUGGGGCAGCUGGCUUUUUUACACAGCUCAGCAUGGAUGUGCUGCCACUCCCAGUCACUUUUAGGACACAGUUGAGUUGUUUAUAGUAAUCUUAAAAAAACUUGUAAUAAAAUUGUUCUGCCUUCCUGGGGCCGCCACUCCCAGAGACCU